GACGUAGGGCGCGAGCGUUGUCCGGAUUUAUUGGGCGUAAAGAGCUCGUAGGCGGUCUGUCGCGUCGGAUGUGAAAACCCAGGGCUCAACCCUGGGCCUGCAUUCGAUACGGGCAGACUAGAGUUCGGUAGGGGAGAUUGGAAUUCCUGGUGUAGCGGUGGAAUGCGCAGAUAUCAGGAGGAACACCAAUGGCGAAGGCAGAUCUCUGGGCCGUAACUGACGCUGAGGAGCGAAAGCAUGGGGAGCGAACAGG
rnacentral:rRNA from 1 species